ensembl:lncRNA
AUGCAGAGACAUUCACAGUGCCAGUGCGCCGCGCGCCUGCCAGGCGUCGUUUCGCAUCGCUGCCAGGCCUCGUGCUCUGCUCUCCUUGUGCUUUGGAUGAAAGAAAGCAUUUCAUUUUACGUCACGGCUGGACGUAAAAGAACGAAGCGGCAGAGGUCUACGGCUGCAGGAUUUCUCCGGGGAACAUCUUGCCGUCACGCUUCACUGGCGUCUGAAGAGCGCCAGGGAAACCCUGACUGCAGGAGCGGGACAAGAGCUGAGACGAGAAAAGAGACAGAGCGUGAGGGAAUGAACGCAGCGGCGCGUGUGUGCGCGAGGCUCUGUGGGAGAGAAACAGACAGUGCUUUGGGGAGUAGCAAUGAUGACAGAACACUCAAGAAUGACUCACAGAUGGUGAACUCACAUGAAGACGAGGGCUUGGAAAGGGAAAGCCAGCGAACAGCGUGAGCAGUGCAGUGCUGGAGCAUAUGAGGGCAAGAAGGACUCCAACACACACACACACACACACACACACACACACACACACACACACACACGUUAAGAGCAUACCAGCACUGUGUGUGCGUUAAGAAGGUUGGGUUUCUAAAUGACAGAUCAUUAUCAUGCUAAUUAAAGCAUUUUGUAGCUGUGACUCGUGCAGUAUUUGUGUGUGUGUGUGUGUGUGUGUGUGUGUGUCUAAUUAAGGCCGGUUCAUCAGCGCCCAGCUCAUUUACACCAUGCUAGAGCGACACCCUGAUUCAAGCACACGGACAGUAAUGAAGCUACUAAUUAUUAUGGCACUUUAACAUAUUUAGCCUUAACUGAGCCAACCCUGAACAGCUGAACCACCUCAACUGAACCAUGAACUCAACAAAGCUUCAGCAGUUCAACACAACCUAGCACAGCUGAGCCACCCAAACACAAUCCAACACAUGCAGAUAAACACGUCUACACGUCUGAACUACACCAAAACAUUUCCUUUUUUGGACUACAAAAAGGCUUUCAUGAACAAAAUGCACCCAGCAUGUCCCAAAUUCAAUUCAUCCACAAAAUGCAUGCAUUUUAUGAUAUGCUUAACAAUACACAAUGUUCUACAUUUGAAGAAGAUCAAUCUAGUUUUCAUGUUUUUUUU